GGAGAGGUGGCCGAGUGGUCGAAGGCGCCCGCCUGCUAAGCGGGUGUACGGCUAACCCCGUACCGCGGGUUCAAAUCCCGCCCUCUCCG
rnacentral:tRNA from 1 species